rnacentral:lncRNA from 1 species
AAACAAUGACAGAUAUGAACCCGCUGCAUACAACAUACUGACACAGAGUAAAAACUCUGAACCAUCCACCUUCCCACUCAUUUUGCUAAAACAUUCUGCACAUGUUAUUCAAAAUUUCAGCACAAUUCCAAUCAAGUGUUUCAAGAUGUAUGCGACACAUUUUAAAUAUCAU